rnacentral:rRNA from 1 species
UUGGGAAUAUUGGACAAUGGGGGAAACCCUGAUCCAGCGAUGCCGCGUGAGUGAUGAAGGCCUUCGGGUUGUAAAGCUCUUUUGGCAGGGACGAUGAUGACGGUACCUGCAGAAUAAGCUCCGGCUAACUUCGUGCCAGCAGCCGCGGUAAUACGAAGGGAGCAAGCGUUGUUCGGAUUUACUGGGCGUAAAGAGCGCGUAGGCGGUUAUGUAAGUUGGAUGUGAAAGCCCCGGGCUCAACCUGGGAAUUGCAUUCAAAACUGCAUGACUUGAGUGUGGAAGAGGAUGGUGGAAUAUCCGGUGUAGAGGUGAAAUUCGUAGAUAUCGGAUAGAACACCCGUGGCGAAGGCGGCCAUCUGGUCCACAACUGACGCUGAGGCGCGAAAGCGUGGGGAGCAAA